rnacentral:rRNA from 1 species
GAUGAACGCUGGCGGCGUGCCUAAUACAUGCAAGUCGAGCGAACGGACGAGAAGCUUGCUUCUCUGAUGUUAGCGGCGGACGGGUGAGUAACACGUGGAUAACCUACCUAUAAGACUGGGAUAACUUCGGGAAACCGUAGCUAAUACCGGAUAAUAUUUUGAACCGCAUGGUUCAAAAGUGAAAGACGGUCUUGCUGUCACUUAUAGAUGGAUCCGCGCUGCAUUAGCUAGUUGUUAAGGUAACGGCUUACCAAGGCAACGAUGCAUAGCCGACCUGAGAGGGUGAUCGGCCACACUGGAACUGAGACACGGUCCAGACUCCUACGGGAGGCAGCAGUAGGGAAUCUUACGCAAUGGGCGAAAGCCUGACGGAGCAACGCCGCGUGAGUGAUGAAGGUCUUCGGAUCGUAAAACUCUGUUAUUAGGGAAGAACAUAUGUGUAAGUAACUGUGCACAUCGUGACGGUACCUAAUCAGAAAGCCACGGCUAACUACGUG